CAAUAGCGUAUAUUAAAGUUGUUGCAGUUAAAAAGCUCGUAGUUGGAUUUCGGGACGGAGCGACCGGUCCGCCGCUGUGCGGUGUGUACUCGGGUUUACGCCUCUGUCCUUCCUUGCAGGGAAGCGCGUUCGUCCUUAGUUGGUCGGCGCGGGGAACUGCAUCGUUUACUGUGAAAAAUUAGAGUGUUUAAAGCAGGCGUUGUCAGCUGUGAAUACAUUAGCAUGGAAUAAUAAGAUAGGACUUUUGGAACUAUUUUGUUGGUUGGAGGCCAAGGUAAUGAUUAAUAGGGAUAGUUGGGGGUAUUCAUAUUUAAUUGUCAGAGGUGAAAUUCUUGGAUUUAUGAAAGAUGAACUUAUGCGAAAGCAUUUACCAAGGAUGUUUUCAUUAAUCAAGAACGAAAGUUAGGGGAUCGAAGACGAUCAGAUACCGU
rnacentral:rRNA from 1 species